CAAUCCAUGAGUAAAGUGGCGCACGGGUGAGUAACACGUGACUAACCUACCCUGGAGUGGGGGAUAACUGAGGGAAACCUUAGCUAAUACCGCAUAAUACCUACGGGUCAAAGGAGGAAUUCGCUCUAGGAGGGGGUCGCGGCAGAUUAGCUAGUUGGCGGGGUAAUGGCCCACCAAGGCAGUGAUCUGUAUCCGGCCUGAGAGGGCGCACGGACACACUGGAACUGAAACACGGUCCAG
rnacentral:rRNA from 1 species